UACAAGACAGGCGUGAAUUCCCCGGGCUUAACCUGGAAUGGCGCCUGUGACUGUAUAGCUAGAGUGUGUCAGAGGGGGGUAGAAUUCCACGUGUAGCAGUGAAAUGCGUAGAUAUGUGGAGGAAUACCAAUGGCGAAGGCAGCCCCCUGGGAUAACACUGACGCUCAUGCACGAAAGCGUGGGGAGCAAACAGGAUUAGAUACCCUGGUAGUCCACGCCCUAAACGAUGCUGACUAGUUGUUCGGGAUUUUCAUCCUGAGUAACGUAGCUAACGCGUGAAGUCAGCCGCCUGGGGAGUACGGUCGCAAGAUUAAAACUCAAAGGAAUUGACGGGGACCCGCACAAGCGGUGGAUGAUGUGGAUUAAUUCGAUGCAACGCGAAAAACCUUACCUACCCUUGACAUGUCACUAACGAAGUAGAGAUACAUUAGGUGCCCGUAAGGGAAAGUGAACACAGGUGCUGCAUGGCUGUCGUCAGCUCGUGUCGUGGGAUGUUGGGUUAAGUCCCGCAACGAGCGCAACCUUUGUCUUUAGUUGCUACGCAAGAGCACUCUAAAGAGACUGCCGGUGACAAACCGGAGGAAGGUGGGGAUGACGUCAAGUCCUCAUGGCCCUUAUGGGUAGGGCUUCACACGUCAUACAAUGGUGCAUACAGAGGGUUGCCAACCCGCGAGGGGGAGCUAAUCUCAGAAAAUGCAUCGUAGUCCGGAUCGUAGUCUGCAACUCGACUGCGUGAAGCUGGAAUCGCUAGUAAUCGCGGAUCAGAAUGUCGCGGUGAAUACGUUCCCGGGUCUUGUACACACCGCCCGUCAUACCUUGAGGGUGGGUUUUGCCAGAAGCCGUUAGCCUANCCGCAA
rnacentral:rRNA from 1 species